ACGGAGGUGGCAAGCGUUGUUCGGAAUUACUGGGCGUAAAGGGCGCGUAGGCGGCUUUGCAAGUCAGAUGUGAAAUCCCCGGGCUUAACUCGGGAAUUGCAUCUGAAGCUGCUUAGCUUGAGUCCUGGAUGGGAUAGUGGAAUUCCCAGUGUAGCGGUGAAAUGCGUAGAUAUUGGGAGGAACACCUGCGGCGAAGGCGGCUAUCUGGACAGUGACUGACGCUGAGGCGCGAAAGCUAGGGGAGCGAACGG
rnacentral:rRNA from 1 species